GUCGGGAAUAUUGCGCAAUGGAGGAAACUCUGACGCAGUGACGCCGCGUAUAGGAAGAAGGUUUUCGGAUUGUAAACUAUUGUCGUUAGGGAAGAUACAAGACAGUACCUAAGGAGGAAGCUCCGGCUAACUACGUGCCAGCAGCCGCGGUAAUACGUAGGGAGCAAGCGUUAUCCGGAUUUAUUGGGUGUAAAGGGUGCGUAGACGGGAUAACAAGUUAGUUGUGAAAGCCCUCGGCUUAACUGAGGAACUGCAACUAAAACUAUUAUUCUUGAGUGUUGGAGAGGAAAGUGGAAUUCCUAGUGUAGCGGUGAAAUGCGUAGAUAUUAGGAGGAACACCGGUGGCGAAGGCGACUUUCUGGACAAUAACUGACGUUGAGGCACGAAAGUGUGGGGAGCAAACAGGAUUAGAUACCCGAGUAGUCC
rnacentral:rRNA from 1 species